ACCGCGCCCUGACUUGAACGGAGCUCUUUUUGUGGAACGAAGUGGAACAAAAAAGCGGGAGUGGAAGGCGGAUAAAGGC
rnacentral:misc_RNA from 1 species